rnacentral:lncRNA from 12 species
UGUAGCUCUUUAGAAUUUCAUUAAGAAGAGAAAGACUACUCUUAUUGCUAUUACAAUCAUUUUCCAUUUUCCACAUGUCUCUAGAGCAGACAAAGAAGAGAGCAGUGUUUUAAGUUACUGCAUGGUUAAUUCAAAGCCAGAGGUGUGUGCUGCGACUUCAGCAUCCAUCCUGCUCUCUGCGCCGGGAGCCUGACCCACAUGAGAUGCAUGGACGUGUUCUCUCACUCUGCAGUUAGAUGAACAGCCGCCGUCCACAGGUCAUUGGAAGGACAGGAAGCCUAGGGUCAGGGCACUUCUUUUUAUGACUUCUUCCUACCUUGUCGCUACAUGUUGGCUGUUCCCCUUGAUUAAAA